rnacentral:rRNA from 1 species
UUCCGGUUGAUCCCGCCGGACCCCACUGCUAUCGAGAUGGGACUAAGGUAUGCUAGUCGAACGACCAGAACUAUGUCUGGAAGUGGCACACUGCUCAGUAACACGUAGCUAACCUACCCUUAGGACGUGGAUACCCCCGAGAAAUUGGGGUUAAUCCGCGAUAGAUGUAAUGUCCUGGAAUGGUAUUACGUCUAAAGGUAUUUCAUACAUGUUUGAAAUAUGCCUAAGGAUGGGGCUGCGGCCGAUCAGGCUGUUGGUGAGGUAAUGGCUCACCAAACCUUUGACCGGUACGGGCCAUGAGAGUGGUAGCCCGGAGAUGGACACUGAGACAAGGGUCCAGGCCCUAAGGGGCGCAGCAACCGCGAAACCUCCACAAUGCACUCACGUGCGAUGGGGCUAUCUCGAGUGCCACCUGAUGAAGGUGGCUUUUCCUUGGUCUUCAAAGCCUUGGGAAUAAGAGGGGGGCAAGACUGGUGUCAGCCGCCGCGGUAACACCAGCCCCUCGAGUGGUGGGGAUGAUUAUUUGGCCUAAAGCGUCCGUAGCCGGCCGGGUAAGUUUCCCGUUAAAUCCAACGUCUCAAGCGUUGGACCGCGGGAGAUACUACAUGGCUAGAGAGUGGGAGAGGUCAGCGGUAUUCUGGGGGUAGGGGCGAAAUCCUUUGAUCCCCGGAGGACCACCAGUGGCGAAGGCUGCUGACUAGAACACGUCUGACGGUCAGGGACGAAAGCUGGGGUAGCGAACCGGAUUAGAUAC